AUUGAACGCUGGCGGCAGGCCUAACACAUGCAAGUCGAGCGGUAGAGAGGUGCUUGCACCUCUUGAGAGCGGCGGACGGGUGAGUAAUGCCUAGGAAUCUGCCUGGUAGUGGGGGAUAACGUCCGGAAACGGACGCUAAUACCGCAUACGUCCUACGGGAGAAAGCAGGGGACCUUCGGGCCUUGCGCUAUCAGAUGAGCCUAGGUCGGAUUAGCUAGUUGGUGAGGUAAUGGCCCACCAAGGCGACGAUCCGUAACUGGUCUGAGAGGAUGAUCAGUCACACUGGAACUGAGACACGGUCCAGACUCCUACGGGAGGCAGCAGUGGGGAAUAUUGGACAAUGGGCGAAAGCCUGAUCCAGCCAUGCCGCGUGUGUGAAGAAGGUCUUCGGAUUGUAAAGCACUUUAAGUUGGGAGGAAGGGUACUUACCUAAUACGUGAGUAUUUUGACGUUACCGACAGAAUAAGCACCGGCUAGCUCUGUGCCAGCCGCCGCCGUAACAC
rnacentral:rRNA from 1 species